rnacentral:rRNA from 1 species
GAUGAACGCUGGCGGCGUGCCUAAUACAUGCAAGUCGAGCGAACGGACGAGAGGCUUGCUUUUCUGAUGUUAGCGGCGGACGGGUGAGUAACACGUGGAUAACCUACCUAUAAGACUGGGAUAACUUCGGGAAACCGGAGCUAAUACCGGAUAAUAUUUUGAACCGCAUGGUUCAAAAGUGAAAGACGGUCUUGCUGUCACUUAUAGAUGGAUCCGCGCUGCAUUAGCUAGUUGGUAAGGUAACGGCUUACCAAGGCAACGAUGCAUAGCCGACCUGAGAGGGUGAUCGGCCACACUGGAACUGAGACACGGUCCAGACUCCUACGGGAGGCAGCAGUAGGGAAUCUUCCGCAAUGGGCGAAAGCCUGACGGAGCAACGCCGCGUGAGUGAUGAAGGUCUUCGGAUCGUAAAACUCUGUUAUUAGGGAAGAACAUAUGUGUAAGUAACUGUGCACAUCUUGACGGGACCUAAUCAGAAAACCACGGCUAACUACGU